rnacentral:misc_RNA from 1 species
GAUGAAGAACGCAGCGAAAUGCGAUAAGUAAUGUGAAUUGCAGAAUUCAGUGAAUCAUCGAAUCUUUGAACGCAAGUUGCGCCUCAAGCCAUUAGGUUGAGGGCACGUCUGCCUGGGCGUCACAUAUCGUUGCCUGAUGCCAGUUUCCUCGUGAUGGGUGACUGUGCAGGGCGAAUGAUGGCUUCCCGUGAGCAUUGUUGCCUCAUGGUUGGUUGAAAAUUGAGUCCUUGGUAGGGAGCGCCGUGAUAGAUGGUGGUUGAGUGACGAACGAGACCCAAUCAUGUGAGACCCCUACCGAAUUUGGCCUUCAUGACCCACAUGCGUCUUUGGAACGCUCAUGACGAGACCUCAGGUCAGGCGGGGCUACCCGCUGAGUUUAAGCAUAUCAAUAAGCGGAGGA